rnacentral:rRNA from 1 species
AAGUCGGAUGUGAAAUCCCAGAGCUUAACUCUGGAACUGCCAUCGAAACUUUUCAGCUAGAGUAUGAUAGAGGAAAGCAGAAUUUCUAGUGUAGAGGUGAAAUUCGUAGAUAUUAGAAAGAAUACCAAUUGCGAAGGCAGCUUUCUGGAUCAUUACUGACACUGAGGAACGAAAGCAUGGGUAGCGAAGAGGAUUAGAUACCCUGGUAGUCCAUGCCGUAAACGAUGUGUGUUAGACGUUGGAAAUUUAUUUUCAGUGUCGCAGGGAAACCGAUAAACACACCGCCUGGGGAGUACGACCGCAAGGUUAAAACUCAAAUGAAU